CUUUGCAGCAGCGGGGUUUUUUGGACAAUGGGCGAAAGCCUGAUCCAGCAAUGCCGCGUGCAGGAUGAAGGCCCUCGGGUUGUAAACUGCUUUUGUACGGAACGAAAAGCCUGGGGCUAAUAUCCCCGGGUCAUGACGGUACCGUAAGAAUAAGCACCGGCUAACUACGUGCCAGCAGCCGCGGUAAUA
rnacentral:rRNA from 1 species